UACGGAGGGGGCUAGCGUUGUUCGGAAUUACUGGGCGUAAAGCGCACGUAGGCGGCGAUUUAAGUCAGAGGUGAAAGCCCGGGGCUCAACCCCGGAAUAGCCUUUGAGACUGGAUUGCUAGAAUCUUGGAGAGGCGAGUGGAAUUCCGAGUGUAGAGGUGAAAUUCGUAGAUAUUCGGAAGAACACCAGUGGCGAAGGCGGCUCGCUGGACAAGUAUUGACGCUGAGGUGGCGAAAGCGUGGGAGCAAACAGG
rnacentral:rRNA from 1 species